rnacentral:rRNA from 1 species
UGGGGAAUUUUGGACAAUGGGCGAAAGCCUGAUCCAGCAAUGCCGCGUGUGUGAAGAAGGCCUUCGGGUUGUAAAGCACUUUUGUCCGGAAAGAAAUCCUUGGCUCUAAUACAGUCGGGGGAUGACGGUACCGGAAGAAUAAGCACCGGCUAACUACGUGCCAGCAGCCGCGGCAAUACGUAGGGUGCAAGCGUUAAUCGGAAUUACUGGGCGUAAAGCGUGCGCAGGCGGUUUGCUAAGACCGAUGUGAAAUCCCCGGGCUCAACCUGGGAACUGCAUUGGUGACUGGCAGGCUAGAGUAUGGCAGAGGGGGGUAGAAUUCCACGUGUAGCAGUGAAAUGCGUAGAGAUGUGGAGGAAUACCGAUGGCGAAGGCAGCCCCCUGGCAAGUACUGACGCUCAUGCACGAAAAGCGUGGGGAGCAAAACAGGAUUAGAUACCCUGGUAGUCCACGCCCUAAAACGAUGUCAACUAGUUGUUGGGGAUUCAUUUCCUUAGUAACGUAGCUAACGCGUGAAGUUGACCGCCUGGGGAGUACGGUCGCAAGAUUAAAAACUCAAAUGAAUUGACGGGGUCAUAGCUGUUUCCU